UGCACCCGCAGCAGAGGACGCAAAAGACAGGCCCCGGGCAAGGACCUCUGCGCCUCCGGUCUUCGAGAUCUCCACGCGGAACCGCUUUGCUCCCCUCCGCGAGAUGGUGAUGGUGACGCUGUAAUUGUCGGAGAUUCCAUCGUCUGGCAUGUCCGUGGUAAGUUAGCUGAAGGUAAAGUGCACACUGUUUUUGUGGUGCUCGUGUUCUCAAUGCGCAGAUAUCCACAAUCCUGAAGGGCGAUGAGAGCAUUGGCGCAGUCGUGCUGGUAACAAUACCAAGUUGUGGCAGACGGAAACACUGAAGAGCAACUUCAGGAGCCUGAUCGAGACGCGACGACUGAUCGCCCGCGACGAUGAUCAUCAUGUCAGGAUCGCUUCCCAUGUAUCGACAUGGACAAGAAAGCGACAAACACACCGUGGACCAAAGAGGAAACUGACGACACACAGACAGACAAGACAGAGAAGGUUGCUUCUGACUUCAGAAGAUGCCAGACCUCACAAAGAUUUCAGAUGAUGGCAACUAUAGAUGAACAUGCAAAGCUGCUAAAUAAUCCUUAUAUUGUAAUUAUUGCCCUAAAA